AGCUCCAAUAGCGUAUAUUAAAGUUGUUGCAGUUAAAAAGCUCGUAGUUGGAUUUCUGGCAAGAUUCAACGGCGCACCGCGUGCGCCCGCGAGUCCUGCCAUCCGUCUGUUAAACCAGCAGGACAUUCAUUUGUCGGCUGGCGGCUCAGACAAUUUACCUUGAGAAAAUUAGAGUGUUUCAGGCAGGCUAGCGCCGGGAUACAUUAGCAUGGAAUAAUAGAACAGGACUUGAUUCUCUUCUGUUGGUUUGAGGGAGUUAAGUAAUGAUUAAUAGGGAUAGUUGGGGGCAUUAGUACUUAACUGUCAGAGGUGAAAUUCUUGGAUUUGUUAAAGACUAACUUAUGCGAAAGCAUUUGCCAAGGAUGUUUUCAUUA
rnacentral:rRNA from 1 species